UACGUAGGGUGCGAAGCGUUAAUCGGAAUUAUUGGGCGUAAAGAGCUCGUAGGCGGUUUGUCGCGUCUGCCGUGAAAGUCCGGGGCUCAACUCCGGAUCUGCGGUGGGUACGGGCAGACUAGAGUGAUGUAGGGGAGACUGGAAUUCCUGGUGUAGCGGUGAAAUGCGCAGAUAUCAGGAGGAACACCGAUGGCGAAGGCAGGUCUCUGGGCAUUAACUGACGCUGAGGAGCGAAAGCAUGGGGAGCGAACAGG
rnacentral:rRNA from 1 species